AAGACAAACAAAAAUAUUAUUAUAUGCUCACAAACAUCACUAACAGCGCCAAAAAAAUCCAAACACAAAAUUAAUAUAACUUAGAAAACAAAAUUAUAUAAGGAAAAAACUAGAAUUCACAUAUCAUUAGUUUAGGAAUAUUACUUGCUCAAAUAGAUGAGGCAUGUCUUAAGUAACUCAAAACAUCAUAAAAGAUAUUAUAAAACAAAACAACAAGAUAUUAAAAAAUUUCUAAUCUUCUUCUCUAACGAAUGUCCUUCUUCCUAUUCUCCAGAAUAUUAAGAAUCUCCAAAUUUCAUCAUUUGCUACACAUCACUGUUUGAAUAUUCCAAUUCUUCUUCUUCAUCAAUCACUUUAAAAAUUCCUUUCGUUUUCCUUUAGAUGUUGAUGUUUGUACUUGAAGAAUAAAAGUAUCUUACAAUUGUUUGAGAAGAGAAAAUGAAUAGAGUAAGGAGAAGAAAAGUUUAUUUAUUGCCUGAGAUGAUAGAAACAUAGGGAAAAGAAGAAAAGUCUUGAGAAUAUAAUCCUUAUGAGAGUGCAGAAUGAAAAAUCUGUAGUGUUUGGUUUUAUAAAUAUUUAAUUAGGUUAGUGAUUAGUAUUUAAAUAUAAUUAUUAGUUUUUGACCAUAAUUA
rnacentral:lncRNA from 1 species